rnacentral:rRNA from 1 species
GACGAACGCUGGCGGCGUGCUUAACACAUGCAAGUCGAACGGAAAGGGCGUGCUUUUGUGGGGUGCUCGAGGGGCGAACGGGAGAGUAACACGUGGGUAACCUGCCCUAGACUUUGGGAUAACUUCAGGAAAAUGGGGCUUAUACCGGAUAGGAGUACCUGCUGCACGGUGGGGGUUGGAAAGUUUUGGCGGUGGGGGAGGGGCUCGCGGCUCAUCAGCUUGUUGGUGGGGUAGUGGCUUACCAAGGCGUUGACGGGUAGCCGGCCUGAGAGGGUGACCGGCCACCAUGGGACUGGGGUACGGCCCAGUACCCUACCGGCGGCAAGAGGUGGGAAUUUUGCGACAUGGGCCCGAGCGUGUGAUCGAGACGUCGUGUGCGGAAUAUCGAGCUUUUGGUUAUGAACCGCUUUCGCAGUUGCCAAGGCGUGAGUGACGGUACCGAGUAAAGAAGCACCGGCUAACUACGUG